rnacentral:rRNA from 1 species
GACGAACGCUGGCGGCGUGCUUAACACAUGCAAGUCGAACGGAAAGGCCCUGCUUUUGUGGGGUGCUCGAGUGGCGAACGGGUGAGUAACACGUGAGUAACCUGCCCUUGACUUUGGGAUAACUUCAGGAAACUGGGGCUAAUACCGGAUAGGAGCUCCUGCUGCAUGGUGGGGGUUGGAAAGUUUCGGCGGUUGGGGAUGGACUCGCGGCUUAUCAGCUUGUUGGUGGGGUAGUGGCUUACCAAGGCUUUGACGGGUAGCCGGCCUGAGAGGGUGACCGGCCACAUUGGGACUGAGAUACGGCCCAGACUCCUACGGGAGGCAGCAGUGGGGAAUAUUGCACAAUGGGCGGAAGCCUGAUGCAGAAAAGCCGCGUGCGGGAUGACGGCCUUCGGGUUGUAAACCGCUUUCGCCUGUGACGAAGAGUGAGUGACGGUAAUGGGUAAAGAAGCACCGGCUAACUACGUG